rnacentral:rRNA from 1 species
GCAAGUCGAGCGAGAUUUGACAGCGUAUCGUCAGGUCUAGCGGCAGACGGGUGAGUAAUACUUGGGCAAUCUGCCCUUGAGUGGGGGACAACCGGCCGAAAGGCUGGCUAAUACCCCAUAAGACCACAGGGAUGCAUAUCCUAGAGGUCAAAGCUCCGUAAGGGGCGCUUAAGGAGGAGCCCGAGUCCUAUCAUGGUAGUUGGCGGGGUAAUGGCCCACCAAGCCGUUGACGGGUAGCCGGCCUGAAAGGGCAACCGGCCACACUGGCACUGAGACACGGGCCAGACUCCUACGGGAGGCAGCAGUGGGGAAUUUUGGACAAUGGGGGCAACCCUGAUCCAGCGACGCCGCGUGAAGGAUGAAGGUCUUCGGAUUGUAAACUUCUUUUGAAGGGGAUGAAUGUCUGCGUGAAUAACGCAGAGUGACAGUACUCUUCGAAUAAGCCACGGCUAACUACGUGCCAGCAGCCGCGGUAAUACGUAGGUGGCAAGCGAUACUCGGAAUCACUAGGCGUAAAGCGCAGGUAGGAGGUUUGGUAAGUCUGUUGUGAAAGCUCCCGGCUUAACUGGGAGAGGUCAACGGAAACUACCAGGCUAGAGUGCGGUAGAGGUAGCUGGAAUUCCCGGUGUAGCGGUGAAAUGCGUAGAUAUCGGGAGGAAUACCUAUGGCGAAAGCAGGCUACUGGACCGUCACUGACUCUGAUCUGCGAAAGCUAGGGGAGCAAACAGGAUUAGAUACCCUGGUAGUCCUAGCCCUAAACGAUGCUCAUUAGGUGUGGGAGGUAUCGACCCCUUCCGCGCCGAAGCUAACGCAUUAAAUGAGCCGCCUGGGGAGUACGGCCGCCAGGGUUGA